GUGGGGGUUAAAGUGCAUGCAGUUGAGCUGGGAGUUGGCAUAGGACGAAACUUGUUUCUCUGGUGGGGGGGCUGUGGGGCUGACUCUUGCCUGUGGUCGUUCAGGGCGGCGUUUCUGGGGCGUUGUGAAUACCAUCCUUCCUCAAGUAGGUGGGUGAGCCAUCCUGAUCUUCCCAGCCAGCCCAUCUGAUGGAAGAAUGGGACCGCACCCGCUCCAGGGAGUGAAAUCGUUCCUAAAUGCAGCUGGCAAGGCACAUGCCUCCAAGACCACAUUUCUCUGGCUCCUAUGCAGAAACC
rnacentral:lncRNA from 1 species